rnacentral:rRNA from 1 species
UUCCGGUUGAUCCUGCCGGACCCGACUGCUAUCAGAAUAGGACUAAGCCAUGCGAGUCAACGUAGCAAUACGUGGCAUACGGCUCAGUAACACGUAGUCAACAUGCCCAGGGGACGUGGAUAACCUCGGGAAACUGAGGAUAAACCGCGAUAGGUCAUAAUGUCUGGAAUGAUUUAUGGCUAAAAUCUACAUGGCCCCUGGAUUGGACUGCGGCCGAUCAGGCUGUUGGUGAGGUAAUGGCCCACCAAACCUAAAACCGGUACGGGCUCUGAGAGGAGAAGCCCGGAGAUGGGCACUGAGACAAGGGCCCAGGCCCUAUGGGGCGCAGCAGGCGCGAAAACUCUGCAAUAAGCGAAAGCUUGACAGGGUUAUUCUGAGUGAUUUCCGCUAAGGAGAUCUUUUGGCACCUCUAAAAAUGGUGCAGAAUAAGGGGUGGGCAAGCCUGGUGUCAGCCGCCGCGGUAAUACCAGCACCCCGAGUGGUCGGGACGAUUAUUGGGCCUAAAGCAUCCGUAGCCGGUUCUACAAGUCUUCCGUUAAAUCCACCUGCUUAACAGUUGGGCUGCAGAGGAUACUAUAGAGCUAGGAGGCGGGAGAGGCAAGCGGUACUUAGUGGGUAGGGGUAAAAUCCGUUGAUCCACUGAAGACCACCAGUGGCAAGGCGGCUUGCCAGAACGCGCUCGACGGUGAGGGAUGAAAGCUGGGGGAGCAAACCGGAUUAGAUACCCGGGUAGUCCCAGCUGUAAACGAUGCAGACUCGGUGAUGAAUAGGCUUCGUGCCUAUUCAGUGCCGCAGGGAAGCCGUUAAGUCUGCCGCCUGGGGAGUACGGUCGCAAGACUGAAACUUAAAGGAAUUGGCGGGGGAGCACCACAAGGGGUGAAGCCUGCGGUUCAAUUGGAGUCAACGCCGGAA